rnacentral:rRNA from 1 species
UUCGGAAUAACAGUUGGAAACGACUGCUAAUACCGGAUGAUGACGUAAGUCCAAAGAUUUAUCGCCGAGGGAUGAGCCCGCGUAGGAUUAGCUAGUUGGUGUGGUAAAGGCGCACCAAGGCGACGAUCCUUAGCUGGUCUGAGAGGAUGAUCAGCCACACUGGGACUGAGACACGGCCCAG